GCAUGUCUAGUAUAGCAUUAUACAGCGAAACUGCGAAUGGCUCAUUAUAUAAGUUAUCGUUUAUUUGAUAGUACCUUACUACUUGGAUAACCGUGGUAAUUCUAGAGCUAAUACAUGCUAAAAAUCCCGACUCCGGAAGGGAUGUAUUUAUUAGAUUAAAAACCAAUGCCCUCUGGGCUCCUUGGUGAUUCAUAAUAACUUUUCGAAUCGCAUGGCCUUGCGCCGGCGAUGGUUCAUUCAAAUUUCUUCCCUAUCAACUUUCGAUGUUUGGGUAUUGGCCAAACAUGGUCGCAACGGGUAACGGAGGGUUAGGGCUCGACCCCGGAGAAGGAGCCUGAGAAACGGCUACUACAUCCAAGGAAGGCAGCAGGCGCGCAAAUUACCCAAUCCCGAUUCGGGGAGGUAGUGACAAUAAAUACUGAUACAGGGCUCUUUUGGGUCUUGUAAUUGGAAUGAGUACAAUUUAAAUCCCUUAACGAGGAACAAUUGGAGGGCAAGUCUGGUGCCAGCAGCCGCGGUAAUUCCAGCUCCAAUAGCGUAUAUUAAAGUUGUUGUGGUUAAAAAGCUCGUAGUUGAACCUUGGGCCUGGCUGGCCGGUCCGCCUCACCGCGUGCACUGGUCCGGCCGGGCCUUUCCCUCUGUGGAACCCCAUGCCCUUCACUGGGUGUGGCGGGGAAACAGGACUUUUACUUUGAAAAAAUUAGAGUGCUCCAGGCAGGCCUAUGCUCGAAUACAUUAGCAUGGAAUAAUGAAAUAGGACGUGUGGUUCUAUUUUGUUGGUUUCUAGGACCGCCGUAAUGAUUAAUAGGGACAGUCGGGGGCAUCAGUAUUCAAUUGUCAGAGGUGAAAUUCUUGGAUUUAUUGAAGACUAACUACUGCGAAAGCAUUUGCCAAGGAUGUUUUCAUUAAUCAGGAACGAAAGUUAGGGGAUCGAAGACGAUCAGAUACCGUCGUAGUCUUAACCAUAAACUAUGCCGACUAGGGAUCGGACGAUGUUAUUUUUUGACGCGUUCGGCACCUUACGAGAAAUCAAAGUG
rnacentral:rRNA from 1 species